AUUGAACGCUGGCGGCAUGCCUUACACAUGCCAGUCGAACGGCAGCACGGGUGCUUGCACCUGGUGGCGAGUGGCGAACGGGUGAGUAAUACAUCGGAACAUGUCCUGUAGUGGGGGAUAGCCCGGCGAAAGCCGGAUUAAUACCGCAUACGAUCCACGGAUGAAAGCGGGGGACCUACGGGCCUCGCGCUAUAGGGUUGGCCGAUGGCUGAUUAGCUAGUUGGUGGGGUAAAGGCCUACCAAGGCGACGAUCAGUAGCUGGUCUGAGAGGACGACCAGCCACACUGGGACUGAGACACGGCCCAGACUCCUACGGGAGGCAGCAGUGGGGAAUUUUGGACAAUGGGCGAAAGCCUGAUCCAGCAAUGCCGCGUGUGUGAAGAAGGCCUUCGGGUUGUAAAGCACUUUUGUCCGGAAAGAAAUCCUUGACUCUAAUACAGUCGGGGGAUGACGGUACCGGAAGAAUAAGCACCGGCUAACUACGUG
rnacentral:rRNA from 1 species